AUUGAACGCUGGCGGCAUGCCUUACACAUGCAAGUCGAACGGUAACAGGUCUUCGGAUGCUGACGAGUGGCGAACGGGUGAGUAAUACAUCGGAACGUGCCUAGUAGUGGGGGAUAACUACUCGAAAGAGUGGCUAAUACCGCAUGAGAUCUACGGAUGAAAGCAGGGGAUCGCAAGACCUUGUGCUACUAGAGCGGCAGAUGGCAGAUUAGGUAGUUGGUGGGAUAAAAGCUUACCAAGCCGACGAUCUGUAGCUGGUCUGAGAGGACGAUCAGCCACAGUGGGACUGAGAAACGGCCCAGACUCCUACGGGAGGCAGCAGUGGGGAAUUUUGGACAAUGGGCGCAAGCCUGAUCCAGCAAUGCCGCGUGCAGGAUGAAGGCCUUCGGGUUGUAAACUGCUUUUGUACGGAACGAAAAGCCCCGGGUUAAUACCCUGGGGUCAUGACGGUACUGUAAGAAUAAGCACCGGCUAACUACGUGCCAGCCGCCGCCGUAA
rnacentral:rRNA from 1 species